rnacentral:lncRNA from 1 species
AUGGACUUCUCAAUAACACAAAGCAAUCUAAACACACAAUUCACAACGUCUCAUGAAUGAUGCAUUAUCUUAUUAUUAUUGAAAGCAAAAAGAAUACAAAACCAACCAAACAAUCCAAUAAUAUAAUACUAAGCCAACAUAGUAAAGAAAUCCCAAUGGAUUAAUCAAUCUAGCUAAUCAUGUUCAUUAUCAAAAUACACAAGAAUUUAAUCACAACAAUGAGUAAAGGUAGAGAAAACCCGAUUACACCCUUGGAUGAGAGUAAACAGCCCCAAUUCCUCUUGCUCGAAUUGAAUCGAUUCUUGUUCCUCUUGCUUGAUUUGAAAACCAAUCAACGAACCUCGCCCAAUCUUCAAUCUUUGAAGGGAAUUCGAUUGAAACCUUGAUCCAAGUAUCCUUUUCCCUUGGUUUCAGCUCAGAAAACCCUUAGAGAGAGAAAUAUUAGGAUUUUGGGACGUUCUCCCUCGCUCUCCUUUUUCUUCCUCUCUUUGUUCUUUUAAUUAAUUUUCCAUGUCGCCACCAACACGGCCGUCUUGAUGCCCGUGUUCCCAACACGGUCUGGUGUUUAUGCCCGUGUUACUCUCUAUGGCCGUGCUCCCUAAAAACUUCUUUUUCUUUGAUGUUUCAUGCACUCAACACGACCAUGUUGGUGCCUGUGUUGGGAACACGGCCAGUGUUGAAAUCGACAUGGCCAUGUUCAGCUUCCUCAUGCUCGUACUUAACUUGUUUCGGCAGCUUUGACAUCCAAUUAUACUCCAAUUCUUCCCUUUAUCAUUCUUUGACUUCUUUUGAACCUGAUGCACACAAACAGACGCAUAGGGUGAGUGUUGGGACCAAUUCACAUCCAAAUGUCCAUAAAAUCAAUCUUAAAAAUCUCAUUUAGAUGUGUGUAUCUUACGCACAUCAUCUAACUAUUAAAAAUUUCGAUUUAUAAUGAUUCAGUCACUUUUACUCCAAUCAGCUAUCAUUAUCAUAUUUUUCGUAUUUGAUAAUAUAAGUUUGGAGCUUAACAACUCAAAACAUCUUGUUUGAUAGUUAAAUCGAUCUCGUCGAAUUAAUCAUUUUUUAAAUUGUCAUAAUAAGAAACUCCACCACUUUUAAGAAGAAAGAAAGUUAAAAGGAUAACAGCUCGAUUUGCCCAUAAAUUUCUAUUAAAGGAGCAAAUGUAACACCCCAACUCAAACUUCCCAUUGAAUAGCAAUAUAUAUAUAUAUAUAUAUAUAACUUUAUAGACAUAAUUUACUACUUAGUUACAAUAUACAUUCAUACAAUUUAAGUGGCAUGACAUACUUAAUAUAUAUAAGAAAUAUUUAUACAGUAGUUUAAUUCACACAAGUUCCCAAAAUGCCCCAAUGCUUUAGAUAACUCCUCUGGCCCACCUGAUAAUAUUGACUGAUGCAAAGAGAGUAAUGCACAGCUAAGGCUAUCUACAACUGCACUAACCUGAAAAAAAAAAUUGCUAAGGAAUGAGCUAGCGACUCAAUAAGCAUUUAAUUUACUAAACUAUAGUAUAUUAGGCUAGAAUUAUCAAAUCUUUAUCAAUACAGAAAAUUAUACCAACACUUAACUAACAAUCACAAAAUCAACCAUUUCAGUUAUUCUCAUAAACAUAUAAUUUCAUCUCACGUAAUGCAAAUAUUCUCAAACUCAACCAAGUCAAAUAAUUCAAUUCCACAUUAUUUAUAUCAAAUUAGGAUCAGAUGACUCAUCCUUACAUUUCCUCACAUUUUUAAAUUUCAGUAACCACUUGACAAGACUAUCCGCCCGGCUCAGUCUUGCCAUCUCACAUACUCGGGUAGCUAUCCGCCCGGCUCAGCUUUCCCGAUCACACAAUAUCCAUACAAAAGUCAUCAAUCCUUAAUCACAAUCAUUUCACUUCACAACACAUCACAAUCAAUUCACUUCACAACACAUCACAAUCAAUUCACUUUAUAACAAGCCAAUAACAUAACUAAUAUCAACUCAGUCAACCAAGAAAUUAUCAAGUAAUCAAACAGCAGUCCCUACUCAAUAUACACAAAGUUUAGUCUAUUAAAUACUUACCAAAAGUUAUAGGAUAACAAAAUAAUCCUAUUCUUUUUCUCUUACCACUUCCUUGCCUUUGGAUGAACCUAUUCACAUAUUCAAUACAAAUACAAUUCAAUCACAAGGCAUAAAUAUAUAUAUAUAUAUAUAUUUACUAUCAAUAAAAUAUCACAUUUCAACAAAAUAACAUAUAUUCUAGAUAUUAAUAUGAUGCAUGAGAUGAAUGACAACAAAUCAACAUAUUUGUUGAUGAAGGCAGCUUGUAGGUACUCACUUAGAAAUUACACCAAAACUUAUGUACAAUUAAUAAAAAUCUCAUAUUUUCCAGAAUUACACUUCCAUUUUUAUAGAAACCAUAGCAGAAAGAAUCACCUCAAAAUCAUUGGUAUAGAAAUAGUUAUGGCAUUUUCUAUACAGCUGCUCAAAUUUCCAUCUAAACAGAACAGAAAAAAGUUUCCUAUUAAAUGACCAAUCAAACGAAUGAAUUUUCUGAUGAAACACUCCAGAUAUAAAGUUAACAUUCUAAAGUUUCUAUAGACACUAAUUUUACUCAAUUUGUACUUUUCUAGCUCAAGUUGUGAAACACACAAUUAGCAACAAAUUUCUGAAUCCUAAGCCCGAUUUCUGCUUAAAACAGUUUCGGGCAGGCCAUAUUAAGUUCAAUAUAUCUCACGUUAUACUCAACCAAAAAUUAUGAAAUUUUUCAGACAUAUACUACAUAUAUAAAUGAACAACUUUCAUGUUUAACUCUCUGCUUGGUUCAGCCUCUAAAUGCCUCAAAAUGUCAGCACAAUAAUCAGGUCACCUGCUGAACCAAAAACAGAGCAGCAGCAAAAUCGAACCUCAUAAGUUCCUACUCACUCAACAAUCUGCAAAACCAUUUUACAGAGAUAUUCUUGAGACAUAUACCUACAACUUUCAUGUUUGAAAAUUUUCGAGAUAAAGCCUCUAAGGUCACGAAAUCAUAAGUGAAAAAUCUGCCCAGAAAUUUCAGCUUCAAGAUCACAAGUAAAAGCAUGUUUACUCUUGAUUAAACAAUUCCAAAACACAUAAUCAUCAACAAUUUCAUAUCAUUAACCCUAAUUUACAGCAAAAUCAAGCAAUUAAAAUUACUCACCUUUGUUUUCCUUAAUCACAAUCAUUUCACUUCACAACACAUCACAAUCAAUUCACUUCACAACACAUCACAAUCAAUUCACUUUAUAACAAGCCAAUAACAUAACUAAUAUCAACUCAGUCAACCAAGAAAUUAUCAAGUAAUCAAACAGCAGUCCCUACUCAAUAUACACAAAGUUUAGUCUAUUAAAUACUUACCAAAAGUUAUAGGAUAACAAAAUAAUCCUAUUCUUU